rnacentral:rRNA from 1 species
UACGUAGGGGGCAAGCGUUGUCCGGAAUCAUUGGGCGUAAAGAGCGCGUAGGCGGCCCUGUAAGUCCGCUGUGAAAGUCAAGGGCUCAACCCUUGAAUGCCGGUGGAUACUGCAGGGCUAGAGUCCGGAAGAGGCGAGUGGAAUUCCCGGUGUAGCGGUGAAAUGCGCAGAUAUCAGGAGGAACACCGGUGGCGAAGGCGGGUCUCUGGGCCGUAACUGACGCUGAGGAGCGAAAGCAUGGGGAGCGAACAGG